GUGCAGAGUGAGCUGGUCGUGGUGUGGUAUUGUGUAAUAAGGUCGGUUUUAGUCGUGUUGUGUUUGUGGUGUAAUGUAAUGCAUAUGUGGCUAGGGGCUUUAGAGAAUGUGUGUUUAGGGGAUGUAGCAAGUGUGUGUAUACAGGCUAUAGUGUGUGUGUGUGUGUGUGUGUGUGUGUGUGUGUAGGUGAUGUAGUGUUUGUAGAAAGUGUGUGUUCAGG